UAAGACGUAGGGGGCGAGCGUUGUUCGGAUUUACUGGGCGUAAAGCGCGCGUAGGCGGCUAGGUAAGUCGGUUGUGAAAUCCCUCGGCUUAACCGAGGUCCCGCAUCCGAUACUGUCUGGCUCGAGUCUAGGAGAGGAAAGCGGAAUUCCCAGUGUAGCGGUGAAAUGCGUAGAUAUUGGGAGGAACACCGGUGGCGAAGGCGGCUUUCCGGACUAGUACUGACGCUGAGGCGCGAAAGCUAGGGGAGCGAACGGG
rnacentral:rRNA from 1 species